rnacentral:hammerhead_ribozyme from 1 species
AUCCAACUGGCGAGUCCCAAAUAAAACGAAACGCGCAUCCUGGAU